rnacentral:rRNA from 1 species
GAUGAACGCUGGCGGCGUGCCUAAUACAUGCAAGUCGAGCGAACAGACGAGGAGCUUGCUCCUGUGACGUUAGCGGCGGACGGGUGAGUAACACGUGGAUAACCUACCUAUAAGACUGGGAUAACUUCGGGAAACCGGAGCUAAUACCGGAUAAUAUAUUGAACCGCAUGGUUCAAUAGUGAAAGACGGUUGUGCUGUCACUUAUAGAUGGAUCCGCGCCGCAUUAGCUAGUUGGUAAGGUAACGGCUUACCAAGGCAACGAUGCGUAGCCGACCUGAGAGGGUGAUCGGCCACACUGGAACUGAGACACGGUCCAGACUCCUACGGGAGGCAGCAGUAGGGAAUCUUCCGCAAUGGGCGAAAGCUUGACGGAGCAACGCCGCGUGAGUGAUGAAGGUCUUCGGAUCGUAAAACUCUGUUAUUAGGGAAGAACAAAUGUGUAAGUAACUAUGCACGUCUUGACGGUACCUAAUCAGAAAGCCACGGCUAACUACGUG